rnacentral:rRNA from 1 species
GGGRAACCCUGAUCUAGCCAUGCSGCGUGAGUGACGARGGCCCUAGGGUCGUAAAGCUCUUUCGCCAGGGAAGAUAAUGACGGUACCUGGUAAAGAAACCCSGGCUAACUCSGUGCCAGCAGCCGCGGUAAUACGGAGGGGGKUAGCGUUGUUCGGAAUUACUGGGCGUAAAGCGCGCGUAGGCGGACUUUUAAGUUAGAGGUGAAAUCCCGGGGCUCAACCCCGGAACUGCCUUUAAUACUGGAAGUCUUGAGUUCGAGAGAGGUGAGUGGAAUUCCGAGUGUAGAGGUGAAAUUCGUAGAUAUUUGGAGGAACACCAGUGGCGAAGGCGGCUCACUGGCUCGAUACUGA